CCUACGGGUGGCAGCAGUGGGGAAUAUUGGACAAUGGGCGAAAGCCUGAUCCAGCCAUGCCGCGUGUGUGAAGAAGGCCUUCGGGUUGUAAAGCACUUUCAGUGGGGAAGAAAGCCUUGGGGCUAAUACCCUCGAGGAAGGACAUCACCCACAGAAGAAGCACCGGCUAACUCCGUGCCAGCAGCCGCGGUAAUACGGAGGGUGCGAGCGUUAAUCGGAAUUACUGGGCGUAAAGCGCGCGUAGGCGGUCUGAUAAGCCGGUUGUGAAAGCCCCGGGCUCAACCUGGGAACGGCAUCCGGAACUGUCAGGCUAGAGUGCAGGAGAGGAAGGUAGAAUUCCCGGUGUAGCGGUGAAAUGCGUAGAGAUCGGGAGGAAUCCCAGUGGCGAAGGCGGCCUUCUGGACUGACACUGACGCUGAGGUGCGAAAGCGUGGGUAGCAAACAGGAUUAGAUACCCGAGUAGUC
rnacentral:rRNA from 1 species